UACGAAGGGUGCAAACGUUGCUCGGAAUUAUUGGGCGUAAAGCGCACGUAGGCGGAUGUGCCAGUCAGGGGUGAAAUCCCGGAGCUCAACUCCGGAACUGCCUCUGAUACAGCACGUCUUGAGUCCGGAAGAGGUGGGUGGAAUUCCUAGUGUAGAGGUGAAAUUCGUAGAUAUUAGGAAGAACACCGGUGGCGAAGGCGGCCCACUGGUCCGGUACUGACGCUGAGGUGCGAAAGCGUGGGGAGCAAACAGG
rnacentral:rRNA from 1 species